GUUAUAUGCAUAAUCUUGUUUCAGCUGGAACGUAAACUCCUAAUGACAAAGUAGUGGCUGAAAAUUUAAGGAGUAUCGGUGCAGUUUCAGAGUAAGAAGUUUUUGAGAUGGUGUGUGUAAGACCAAAAUAAUAGAGAAAUCCAUCUUUAUACUGUCUGAAGCUGGUUUUGAAAUAACUCAGCUCAGGUUGAAGAUGUUCUUAUGUUGAACAUAAACUCAGGUGCUAGAAGUAUGAUCCAUGAAGAUGAACAACAGUUAUAAUUUGUAAUUUAUGUUGACUUGGCUGUUUUAUUUUAUCUUGGGUUGUCAUGUUAUUUUAUUUUUAAAUUUGUAAUGACUUUAAUUUGCUGGGUAUCAUGUUCCAACAAUAACUUAGAGGGAUGAACCAAUAAUCCUUAUUAAAAUUAAAAUAA